GCCAGGCAUGUGGCGUGUUAUUCAAGCAGAAAUAACGGCACAGAUAUUCAGCCUGCUUCGCCGUCAUGAUCGCUGGUGAACCCAUCUUUUCCUCUAAAUUGAAGGGACUGUAAGGAGUGGGGUGUCCUUCGCUGAUAGGAGAAAAAACACCUAAACAAGAUGACUUUGAGCGUGAGACAGUGGUGAAAACGCCAAAGAGAACUGGAACAUGGCAUGU